GUUUCAGACGAACCCUUGUAGGGUUGAAGC
rfam:halophilic archaeon J07HX5 genomic scaffold scf7180000022092, whole genome shotgun sequence.